ACUCUCAUAAAUUUCUCGGCCAGCUUUAAACCACUGGAACCGGACAUUGGGAGCACUUUGGAUCUCACAGCAUAUAAGCAUUAGAAGACAGGACUCAAGUGUCUGCUGGCUGUAAAAAUACUGGAGAAACUCAUCUAUAGCAUGCAGAAUACAUAUUCAGAAUUUUUUAUAUUUGUCGAGUCUUAUAUGAGAAGA
ensembl:lncRNA TTN-AS1 TTN antisense RNA 1